rnacentral:rRNA from 1 species
ACUAAGCGUACACGGUGGAUGCCCUGGCAGUCAGAGGCGAUGAAGGACGUGCUAAUCUGCGAUAAGCGUCGGUAAGGUGAUAUGAACCGUUAUAACCGGCGAUUUCCGAAUGGGGAAACCCAGUGUGAUUCGUCACACUAUCAUUAACUGAAUCCAUAGGUUAAUGAGGCGAACCGGGGGAACUGAAACAUCUAAGUACCCCGAGGAAAAGAAAUCAACCGAGAUUCCCCCAGUAGCGGCGAGCGAACGGGGAGCAGCCCAGAGCCUGAAUCAGUGUGUGUGUUAGUGGAAGCGUCUGGAAAGGCGCGCGAUACAGGGUGACAGCCCCGUACACAAAAAUGCACAUACUGUGAGCUCGAUGAGUAGGGCGGGACACGUGGUAUCCUGUCUGAAUAUGGGGGGACCAUCCUCCAAGGCUAAAUACUCCUGACUGACCGAUAGUGAACCAGUACCGUGAGGGAAAGGCGAAAAGAACCCCGGCGAGGGGAGUGAAAAAGAACCUGAAACCGUGUACGUACAAGCAGUGGGAGCACGCUUAGGCGUGUGACUGCGUACCUUUUGUAUAAUGGGUCAGCGACUUAUAUUCUGUAGCAAGGUUAACCGAAUAGGGGAGCCGAAGGGAAACCGAGUCUUAACUGGGCGUUAAGUUGCAGGGUAUAGACCCGAAACCCGGUGAUCUAGCCAUGGGCAGGUUGAAGGUUGGGUAACACUAACUGGAGGACCGAACCGACUAAUGUUGAAAAAUUAGCGGAUGACUUGUGGCUGGGGGUGAAAGGCCAAUCAAACCGGGAGAUAGCUGGUUCUCCCCGAAAGCUAUUUAGGUAGCGCCUCGUGAAUUCAUCUCCGGGGGUAGAGCACUGUUUCGGCAAGGGGGUCAUCCCGACUUACCAACCCGAUGCAAACUGCGAAUACCGGAGAAUGUUAUCACGGGAGACACACGGCGGGUGCUAACGUCCGUCGUGAAGAGGGAAACAACCCAGACCGCCAGCUAAGGUCCCAAAGUCAUGGUUAAGUGGGAAACGAUGUGGGAAGGCCCAGACAGCCAGGAUGUUGGCUUAGAAGCAGCCAUCAUUUAAAGAAAGCGUAAUAGCUCACUGGUCGAGUCGGCCUGCGCGGAAGAUGUAACGGGGCUAAACCAUGCACCGAAGCUGCGGCAGCGACGCUUAUGCGUUGUUGGGUAGGGGAGCGUUCUGUAAGCCUGCGAAGGUGUGCUGUGAGGCAUGCUGGAGGUAUCAGAAGUGCGAAUGCUGACAUAAGUAACGAUAAAGCGGGUGAAAAGCCCGCUCGCCGGAAGACCAAGGGUUCCUGUCCAACGUUAAUCGGGGCAGGGUGAGUCGACCCCUAAGGCGAGGCCGAAAGGCGUAGUCGAUGGGAAACAGGUUAAUAUUCCUGUACUUGGUGUUACUGCGAAGGGGGGACGGAGAAGGCUAUGUUGGCCGGGCGACGGUUGUCCCGGUUUAAGCGUGUAGGCUGGUUUUCCAGGCAAAUCCGGAAAAUCAAGGCUGAGGCGUGAUGACGAGGCACUACGGUGCUGAAGCAACAAAUGCCCUGCUUCCAGGAAAAGCCUCUAAGCAUCAGGUAACAUCAAAUCGUACCCCAAACCGACACAGGUGGUCAGGUAGAGAAUACCAAGGCGCUUGAGAGAACUCGGGUGAAGGAACUAGGCAAAAUGGUGCCGUAACUUCGGGAGAAGGCACGCUGAUAUGUAGGUGAAGUCCCUCGCGGAUGGAGCUGAAAUCAGUCGAAGAUACCAGCUGGCUGCAACUGUUUAUUAAAAACACAGCACUGUGCAAACACGAAAGUGGACGUAUACGGUGUGACGCCUGCCCGGUGCCGGAAGGUUAAUUGAUGGGGUCAGCGCAAGCGAAGCUCUUGAUCGAAGCCCCGGUAAACGGCGGCCGUAACUAUAACGGUCCUAAGGUAGCGAAAUUCCUUGUCGGGUAAGUUCCGACCUGCACGAAUGGCGUAAUGAUGGCCAGGCUGUCUCCACCCGAGACUCAGUGAAAUUGAACUCGCUGUGAAGAUGCAGUGUACCCGCGGCAAGACGGAAAGACCCCGUGAACCUUUACUAUAGCUUGACACUGAACAUUGAGCCUUGAUGUGUAGGAUAGGUGGGAGGCUUUGAAGUGUGGACGCCAGUCUGCAUGGAGCCGACCUUGAAAUACCACCCUUUAAUGUUUGAUGUUCUAACGUUGACCCGUGAUCCGGGUUGCGGACAGUGUCUGGUGGGUAGUUUGACUGGGGCGGUCUCCUCCUAAAGAGUAACGGAGGAGCACGAAGGUUGGCUAAUCCUGGUCGGACAUCAGGAGGUUAGUGCAAUGGCAUAAGCCAGCUUGACUGCGAGCGUGACGGCGCGAGCAGGUGCGAAAGCAGGUCAUAGUGAUCCGGUGGUUCUGAAUGGAAGGGCCAUCGCUCAACGGAUAAAAGGUACUCCGGGGAUAACAGGCUGAUACCGCCCAAGAGUUCAUAUCGACGGCGGUGUUUGGCACCUCGAUGUCGGCUCAUCACAUCCUGGGGCUGAAGUAGGUCCCAAGGGUAUGGCUGUUCGCCAUUUAAAGUGGUACGCGAGCUGGGUUUAGAACGUCGUGAGACAGUUCGGUCCCUAUCUGCCGUGGGCGCUGGAGAACUGAGGGGGGCUGCUCCUAGUACGAGAGGACCGGAGUGGACGCAUCACUGGUGUUCGGGUUGUCAUGCCAAUGGCACUGCCCGGUAGCUAAAUGCGGAAGAGAUAAGUGCUGAAAGCAUCUAAGCACGAAACUUGCCCCGAGAUGAGUUCUCCCUGACUCCUUGAGAGUCCUGAAGGAACGUUGAAGACGACGACGUUGAUAGGCCGGGUGUGUAAGCGCAGCGAUGCGUUGAGCUAACCGGUACUAAUGAACCGUGAGGCUUAACC